rfam:Human immunodeficiency virus type 1 proviral mRNA for partial ENV protein, partial GAG protein, partial NEF protein and partial POL protein isolate 97ZR-EQTB11
UUUUUUAGGGAAGUUCUGGCCUCUCAACAAAGAGAGGCCAGGAAAUUUUCUU